UUGCAGGUUAAGUUACGGAGCAGCUGUGCAGUACUGCUCUGUCGUUCCCCCUGCAUAAAGAAAUUCGAUUCUUACUAUCCCUGUCUGUCUGCAUCCCACGACUGCCAGGGACGCUUGGUUUCAGACAU